rnacentral:rRNA from 1 species
UACGGAGGGAGCUAGCGUUGUUCGGAAUUACUGGGCGUAAAGCGCACGUAGGCGGUUAUUCAAGCCAGAGGUGAAAGCCCGGGGCUCAACCCCGGAACGGCCUUUGAAACUAGAUAGCUAGAAUCUUGGAGAGGUCAGUGGAAUUCCGAGUGUAGAGGUGAAAUUCGUAGAUAUUCGGAAGAACACCAGUGGCGAAGGCGACUGACUGGACAAGUAUUGACGCUGAGGUGCGAAAGCGUGGGGAGCAAACAGG